UUGGGGUUCUGUGGGGGGGUUCUGUGAUUUCUCAGGAGUUUAGGGUGGAGGCAAGUCAUUCUAUGCUUAGGAUUAGUCCAAUGUCUCCAAUUUGGUUGUAGAGUACGGCUUGUAGGGCUGCUGUGUUGGCUUCUGUUCGUCCGUAUCAUCAGCUGAUUAGUAGAAAGGAUAUAAUGCCGACUCCUUCUCAGCCGACGAAGAGGAGGAAUAUAUUGUUGGCAAGGGUUAGUGUUAGUAUGGCGAUUAGGAAGGUUGUUUGUUAGGUAGGAGAGGAAUUUUGUGAUGUGUGGAUCUGGGGCUAUGUAUGAGGUUGCAAAUUGUAGGAUAGAUCAUGUUACAAAUAGUGCAAUAGGGAAGAAUAGUAUGGAGUACUGGUUUAUUUUGAAGCUGAAUGGGAUUUUGAAGUUUAUGAUGAAUUUUCAUUCUCAGUGUGAGGUGAUACUGUCUAGUCCUGAUUGCAUGAAGAGUGUUAUUGGUAUUAGACUGAUUAGGAAGGCAGCUUUGAUGGUGAGGGUAAUGGUUUUGGGGGAGUUUUGGAAAUUUUUUAAUAGGAGGGGAAGGAGGGUAGGUGUAAGGAUGGUUGUUAGUGUAAGUAGUAUGGUGGUGUUAAGUAGUAGGGCUGUUUCCAUUACUUUUACUUGAAUUUGCACCAAGAUGGAUGGUUCCUAAAACCAGUGGAUUGCUUUUAUCCUUUAAAAAUAAGGGGGCUGAGGUUUUAGACUCAGAUGCAAGAGUUUUACCAGUUCUUGUUGGUUGAACCUCACCUUGGCAGGUAAGAAGGGUUUAACUUCUAUUUUUAGGGUCACAGUCUAAUGUUUGGUUUAAACUAUACUUGCAUGAGAGGGGCCCGGAGAUUAGUUCGGGUUUUAGGAUUAAGAGUAUGGGGAGGACAUGGAGGGUUAUUAGGAGGUGUUCUCAUGUGCUUGAGUUUUUGAGGGUUGUGAUGUGGUUAGGUAGGGUUCCUCGUUGGGUUGUUGUUAGUAUGAAUAGUGUGUAUGAGGCGGUUAGUAGGGUUGCGAUUCCAGUUAGGAGGAUUGUGAAUAGUGCGAUUGCGAUGCUUAGUUCUGCUAUUAGGUUUGUAGUGGGGAGUAGGGCUAUAUUUGUGAGGUUAGCUAGCAGUCAUCAGGUGGCUAUUAGUGGGAGGAGGGGCUGUAAUCCUUGGGUUAGGAAGAGGAUGUGGCUGUGUGUGCAUUCAUAGUUCGUAUUGGCUAGGCAAAACAGUAUUGAGGAAGUUAGGCCAUGGGAGAUUAUGAGGAUUAUGGCUCCAGAGAAUGAUCACUGUGCUUGGAUUAUGCAUGCAGCGAUAACUAGGCCUAUAUGGCUUAUGGAAGAAUAGGCAAUGAGUGAUUUUAGGUCGAUUUGGCAUAGGCAAAUUGAGCUGGUUAUUAGUGCUCCUCAUAGGGCGAGGGUGAUGAAUGGGUAGUAUAGGAGGUUGUUUGAGGAUGGGUUUAUUAGGAGAGUGAUGUGUAUGAUGCCGUAUCCGCCUAAUUUUAGGAGAAGGGCAGUGAGUAGUAUGGAUCCUGCAAUUGGGGCUUCUACGUGGGCUUUGGGUAGUCAGAGGUGGAGGCCGUAUAGGGGUGCUUUUACUAUGAAGGCUAUAAAUAGGGCUGUGCUUAGGAGGAGGGUGGAUCAAUAGUUGGUUGGUGUGGAUGGUAGAAGGUGGGGGGUGAGUUUUAGGGUUGGGAGGUGGAGGGUGCCUGUUUGUGAGUGUAGAUACAGGAUUGCGAUUAGUAGGGGGAGCUGAUGAGUGUGUAGAAGAGGAGGUAAAUUCCAGCACUUAGACAUUCUGGCUGGCUUCCUCAUCGUGUGACUAGAAUUAGUGUUGGGAUUAAAGUUGCUUCAAAGGAGAUGUAAAAUAAUAUGAGUUCUGUGGUUGAGAAGGCUAGGAUGAUGAAUGGUUGGACUGAGAUUAGGGUUAUUGUGAAUGUUCAUUUUCAUGUGGGUGGUUUGUGUUGCAGGUGGGUUUGGCUUGCUAGGAUUAUGAGUGGUAGGAGCCAGCAGGAUAGGACUAGUAGGGGGGAGGAUGUUUGGUUGAUGCCUGCCCAUUGAGUGAGGUUUUCGUAUGGGUGAUAUGAUGGUGUUAGUCAUUGUAGGCUUAGGGUGGCGAUUAGUAGACUGUGUAUUGUGGUGUUAGAUCAUAGGAAUUUUAGGGGUGAGAGGAGGGCUAUGGGGAGUAGUAUUGUUGUUGGUAGGAUAAUUUUUAGCAUUGUAGUAGGUUUAGGUUGUGUAGAUGGUCAGAGCCAUGUGUUUGUGUGGAGGCUACUAGUAUUGCUAGUCCUGUGCCUGCUUCGCAAGCAGAGAAUGCUAGUAUGAGGAUUGGCAUGAGGGUAGAGGAUGGUGUUUGGUUUUCGAUUGGUCAAAUUGAUAGGGCAAUAUAUAUUGAUAGCAUUAUGCUUUCUAAGCAUAGUAGGGCAGAGAUUAGGUGGGCUCGGUGGAAGGCUAGUCCUAGGCUGCUUAGGGCGAAAGCUGAGUAGAAGCUUAGGUGAGAGGGGCAUAAAGUCAUAGGGUGGACUAUGGUUUGUUGAGUCGAAAUCAACUGUCUUGUUUAGAC
ensembl:lncRNA